rnacentral:tRNA from 1 species
UACGAUUUAGUAUGAGAAGUACUUAAAUUUUUGAUAUUUAAAGGGGUAGUUUAAUUCUAUCAGUUGUAA